GAUGAACGCUGGCGGCGUGCCUAAUACAUGCAAGUCGAGCGAACAGACGAGGAGCUUGCUCCUCUGACGUUAGCGGCGGACGGGUGAGUAACACGUGGAUAACCUACCUAUAAGACUGGGAUAACUUCGGGAAACCGGAGCUAAUACCGGAUAAUAUAUUGAACCGCAUGGUUCAAUAGUGAAAGACGGUUUUGCUGUCACUUAUAGAUGGAUCCGCGCCGCAUUAGCUAGUUGGUAAGGUAACGGCUUACCAAGGCAACGAUGCGUAGCCGACCUGAGAGGGUGAUCGGCCACACUGGAACUGAGACACGGUCAAGACUCCUACGGGAGGCAGCAGUAGGGAAUCUUCCGCAAUGGGCGAAAGCCUGACGGAGCAACGCCGCGUGAGUGAUGAAGGUCUUCGGAUCGUAAAGCUCUGUUAUUAGAGAAGAACAAAUGUGUAAGUAACUAUGAACGUCGUGACGGUACCUAAUCAGAAAGCAACGGCUAACUACGUG
rnacentral:rRNA from 1 species